AUGCUGUUGGAUGAUGAUAAAUUGAGUGAUCCAUCGACUGAAAAUAAGGAUGAGCUUUAAAGUACUGACAACAGCUU
ensembl:snoRNA small nucleolar RNA SNORD71